rnacentral:rRNA from 1 species
CCUACGGGUGGCAGCAGUAGGGAAUUUUCGUCAAUGGGCGCAAGCCUGAACGAGCAAUGCCGCGUGAACGAGGAAGGUCUUCGGAUCGUUAAGCUCUGUUGAAGGGGAAAAAAAGCGGAGAGAGGAAAUGGUUUCUGAUUGAUAUUACCAUUCGAGGAAGUCACGGCUAACUACGUGCCAGCAGCCGCGGUAAUACGUAGGUGGCGAGCGUUAUACGGAGUGAUUGGGGUUAAAGGGUGCGUAGGCGGACUGCUAAGUCUGGAGUGAAAGGUACCGGCUCAACCGGUACAGGCUCUGGAAACUGGCGAGCUAGAGAGCAGGAGAGGGAGGUGGAAUGCAAGGUGUAGCGGUAAAAUGCGUAGAUAUCUGGAAGAACACCAGUGGCGAAGGCGGCCGCCUGGCCUGUUACUGACGCUGAGGCACGAAAGCGUGGGGAGCAAAUAGGAUUAGAUACCCGAGUAGUC